AAUAGAUACCCUGGUAGUCCACGCCGUAAACGAUGAGUGCUAAGUGUUAGGGGGUUUCCGCCCCUUAGUGCUGCAGCUAACGCAUUAAGCACUCCGCCUGGGGAGUACGGUCGCAAGACUGAAACUCAAAGGAAUUGACGGGGGGCCCGCACAAGCGGUGGAGCAUGUGGUUUAAUUCGAAGCAACGCGAAGAACCUUACCAGGUCUUGACAUCCCAUUGACCGCUAUGGAGACAUAGCUUUCCCUUCGGGGACAGUGGUGACAGGUGGUGCAUGGUUGUCGUCAGCUCGUGUCGUGAGAUGUUGGGUUAAGUCCCGCAACGAGCGCAACCCUUGUUCUUAGUUGCCAUCAUUUAGUUGGGGCACUCUAAGGAGACUGCCGGUGACAAACCGGAGGAAGGUGGGGAUGACGUCAAAUCAUCAUGCCCCUUAUGACCUGGGCUACACACGUGCUACAAUGGACGGUACAAACGGUUGCCAACCCGCGAGGGGGAGCUAAUCCGAUAAAAACCCGUUCUCAGUUCGGAUUGUAGGCUGCAACUCGCCUAC
rnacentral:rRNA from 1 species